ensembl:rRNA 5_8S_rRNA 5.8S ribosomal RNA
AGCUCUUAGCGGUGGAUCACUCGGCUCGUGCGUCGAUGAAGAACGCAGCUAGCUGCGAGAACUAAUGUGAUUUGCAGGACACAUUACAGCAAUUUUGACAUUGCUGUAAUGUCAAAAUUGUACUAAUACUUUUGCAGUAGUGCAU